CCCUGCAGGAUAAGUUAAGCACGCUUCUUCCCUUUGUGCUGUCAUUAACAGUCGGCUUUCUCCACGCAUGCUGCGCUGAAAUGUCUGUUUCUGCUGUCUUCCCCCGCCAGGUACCAGCUCUGUGCAGAGGAACAGAAAGAUAGAAGGUCAACGAGAACCCCUCUUGUCCUAAUGCAUAAACCAGAGUUCAUGCUGCUGACGCCCCGGAUCUCACUAGUGACUACACUGCAGGAGGAAUCUGGGUGUUCGGUGGCACCAUUCCGAGGGAAAGGAGAUGUCGCCUGCUUGGCGUCCCACAGCUAGCCUCGAGGAGCCGCAGAAGGGGCCUGGGGACCGAGAAAUCUGGAAUCUGAUUACGUGUGCGUCACUGAGUCACGCUCUGACCUUAGGUAGUGGGAAAUAUCUUUCCGGGCUUAAGACCUCGGACCCAAGCCAGACAUACAAGAUCCGUGACCUUGGGCAAGUUACGUAACCUUCUGUACCGUCAUUUUCUUAUCUGUCCAUUGGGUCUGAAAUGUUACCAACCUCACAGAGUUGUUAUAAAGGAUAAUCAUGUUAAUUACAAAUAACAUUUCAAUGGCAUGACAAACACAUAGUUAAGCACUGUGCCCAGAUUUUCUAUUAUCACUUGAUGGUUUCUUCAUCUACAGAUAGUCCCCGUGACUCAACCCUGCAUCCCCAUGAAGCAAUCAAGAAGCCUGCCCCUUGGAAACAGCUCAGGCUUUCUGCAGAAUGUUUUUUUGCUGUCUGCAAAGACCAUACAGAUUGUUUCACUUCAAACCAACUUAGCAAACAUUAACUGAGCACCUGCUAUAUUUAAGGCCCUGGGUCAAGUACUCUGAGGAUACGUUAAUGAACCAGGGACUGCCCUCGAGGAAGCCUGUGCUCUGGCACAAGCGGGACCUAAAGGUGUCCAUUUCUCAAAGCGCUCAUCACCAGCGCGGGGAACAGGAUGGCCAAGUAGGCGGUGCCUGGGGGGCCCGCUCACACGUCACCCGGGUCCAACCUGCCUGCAGCUGGCACCUGCCACCUGUAACCUGGGGCAGGCGACGUAACUCAGCCGGGUCUUAGUCUCCUCGUUUGUCAGACUGUGCGCAAAAGUGGCUCCUACCUCGUGGGCUUGUAGUGCAAGUUCAGGGAAGUGUUCUAUGCCAAGGGCCCAGCAAGGAGCCUGGCAAAGCCUCUCAGGUGAUAGCUAUUUUUAUUAUGAUUAAUCUAGGGAGC